rfam:Proteus penneri ATCC 35198 genomic scaffold Scfld0, whole genome shotgun sequence.
GGGUGCUUGGAUCAAUCUGGUUCAAGCAUUUUGUAAAAGCCAGAAAGAGAAAGCCCCGAUUAUGUUAUUUAACAUUAACCGAGGCCGAAUCUAACCCAACAACUUGAUUCUGCCUCCAUUUUUAUCGGAGUGCAAGAGGGAAUGAAAAAAUA